CUGGCGGCGUGCCUAAUACAUGCAAGUCGAACGGUCUUUCUAUGGAAGCUUGCUUCCACUGAGAAGAUAGUGGCGAACGGGUGAGUAACACGUGGGUAACCUGCCCAUAAGAGGGGGAUAACAUCCGGAAACGGGUGCUAAUACCGCAUAGUUUUCUUGAUCGCAUGAUUGAGAAAGGAAAGACGGCCUUUGUGCUGUCGCUUAUGGAUGGACCCGCGGCGUAUUAGUUAGUUGGUGAGGUAACGGCUCACCAAGACGAUGAUACGUAGCCGACCUGAGAGGGUGAUCGGCCACAUUGGGACUGAGACACGGCCCAAACUCCUACGGGAGGCAGCAGUAGGGAAUCUUCCGCAAUGGACGAAAGUCUGACGGAGCAACGCCGCGUGAGUGAAGAAAGGUUUUCGGAUCGUAAAACUCUGUUGUCAGAGAAGAACAAGUUGGAGAGUAACUGCUCCAGCCUUGACGGUAUCUGACCAGAAAGCCACGGCUAACUACGUGCCAGCCGCAGC
rnacentral:rRNA from 1 species